rnacentral:lncRNA from 1 species
AGGCUACAAAAAAAGGAGACAACUAUCAAGAAGAAAGUAUACCCAGUUUUUUAAAAUAAAAAGGAUACUGAAAAAUGACAGUCUCACAUAGUUGAACAGAUUGUUUAGGAUGCAAGUAAAGCACUACGUAAUUAAAUAAAGUAAUUACCCAUGAUUGUUUUCUAGGAGUAAAAAGUGAGAAAGUAACACAAAACUACAAUUUAGUGCUGUCCAAGAAGCCACAACUACAGAAAAAUGUGUCUCUUGAUGGGAUAAUGUUGGGACAAAAUCUCAUUUAAAUACGUAAGAAUCAGGCACUCACCAUCUACUUUCAUUGUUCAAAUCUUUGAAAACAUUAAAACCCCGUUGUUCAACUCUUUGAAAACAUGAAAUAAUCAAAAGAUCUGCCCUCCCUCUCUAUGGUUAACCUAAUAACGAAUGUUUCUUAAGGGGACUGGAGCAGGCUACCACGAGACAAAAGAUCCUCUUUCUAAUGAGAUUCGAUUUGGAACUAUUAUAUGUCGAGA